UUUUUUUUUUCAGGUUGUCAUUUUCUGAAGAAAAAAAAACAUAAGUUCAAGUCAGGACAAUGAAAAGUAGAUCUAGAAAAGAAAAAGAAAAUGGUAACGAAAUCAUUACCAAACAUAUAGUACUCUUUGAGAUAUACUCCUCAUGAUCAAGUUUAUAAGUCAAUAUCAAGUGAUACCACCAGUUACAUACUCCCAUGAUAACAACCUGAAAAGGUUAAAUUUAAUAAACACUACAAAAAGUUCCAUAAAAAAAUUGUGAAUGUUCAUAACACAUGUGUCUACAACUCCUAAAAAGAUCAGAACGAAAUUCAAAGUACAUAUAAAGGAAAGAAAAGGAAAAAUUCAGCAUCAACAGUGUCAAUAAAAACAAAAGCAUGGAUAGUAUUAAAAAAACUACAGUGUUCACAUCUUUUUGAGGAAAGGCCAUCAUGGCUAGCUUUAUUGAAAUCAAAUAAUAGAUACAUCGUCUACGAGCUUGCUGACCAACACGUCAGGGGGCUCGUUCAUCCAAACCAACGAGAUCUUAUUACAAUAACUAUAGUUUGCUAGCACAUGCGCUGCUUGAUUCGAUGAUCGAUAACAAUGUUUAUAGAUGACCUUCCCAAUUAAUGUAGCCGUGUCCACACACUCCGUGAAAAUUGUUGCCGCUGCGUCCCACCAUCUCGACUGACCGGUACAAAAGUUGAUGACUUGCGUAGAAUCAGACUCAGCUUCCAAUUGAUUGAACCCAAGAGAAUUAGCUAGUUUAAGACCAUCCCUCAUGACCAUAGCUUCAGUUGUGACAACAUCAGCAGCAAACGGAAUAAAUUUGCAAGUAGCCGCAAUAAAAUUACCUUUUUCAUCUCAUAUUAUCGCUGAUGUUGCUCCCAUUCCUUCAUCCUGAUAGUACGCCGCAUCUACUUUCACUUUCACAAAUUUGGGGUUGGGUUUAACCCAUUUAUAUUCCUGAGGCCUGAAGGUUUUGGUAAAUGCCUUCUCAUAAUUGCUUGCAAUGGCCAGUACAGAGAUCGGCCAUCGGACUAUCGGAGGGACAGAUUCAUUAUGUGUAAUACGCCUUCUUAUCCACCAUAAGUACCAGCAGGCGACCGCGAUUACCUGCUUAAAAUUCAGACUUGGUUCAAGGAUUUGGGGACUAUCCGGCAUUAGAAACAAAUAUUCCAAGAUCGCUGAACCGGAUCUAUCAACAACACUGGCAUGGUCAAUUAUCUCAGACAUCCUCAAGCAUCGCCACAUCUCCUUAGCAUGCAGACAAGUGAAAAGCAGGUGGCAGAGAUCCUCGGCACCUUGGUGGCAUAUCGGACAUGCUCCAUUGGUCCCUGUAUGCCUAUUCAUUAGUAUUGACUUUAGAGGGAUUAUUCCAUGCAAUACACGCCAGCAAAAGAUCUGAACUUUACGAGGAAUAUUUAAUUUCCAGAGUAUACUCCAUAUUGCCAAAGGGGUAGAGCCACUCGGGACUGAAUUAAUAUUUGUAUGUUCUCUGAAGGUAUACAUCCACUAUAUUUUAGACGCACUUCGGACAGAAAAAGUUCCAGUUUUAUUUGCAUGCCAUGCGAUAAAAUCAUCAAAAGCUUGGCGGUUUAGCGGGAUUUGUAAGAUCCUUCGCACAUCCACGAGAUUGAAGAUAUUAGUGAGCAGUUCCUCGUCCCAGAUUCCAGUAUUUGGGUCGAUGAGAUCACUAACCUGUGAUAAAACUGUUUGGCCACGGGGUGUAAUUAUUUUCCUGUCUGGGCUAGCCGGAAUCCAUGGAUCACACCAGAUGUUUACAGUCUCACCCGAUCCAAUUCUCCAGAUGUAACCCUUCUUAAAAGUUUCUAGACCUUUCAAGAUACUUUGCCAAGUGAAAGACACCCCCUGUUUCGGUGUAGCUCGUAGCAAACUCCCAUUUGGAUAAUAUUUAGCUUUCAAAACCCGAGCACAGAGGGAGUCUGGGUCUGUGAUUAAUCUCCAACAUUGUUUAGCCAACAUGGCUAAGUUAAAAGAAUAAAGGUCCCGAAAACCCAUACCACCUUCGCUCUUUGGAAAACAGAGUUUCCACCAUGAAUACCAGUGCAUCUUUCUAUUCUCUUCAUCAUCACCCCACCAGAAUUGAGCUAUUACAUCUGUGAUAUCCUUGCAAACACCCUUAGGUAAACAGAAAACUGACAUAGCAAAAACAGGGAUGGCUUGGGCCACCGCCUUAAGUAGAAUCUCUUUACCUCCAGUGGAUAACUGUUUCUCCAUCCAGCCGAUCAAUCUAGCUUUGAUUCUUUCUCGAAAGUGUUUGAAGCAAUCACUUCUGUCUGCAUCCACAAUAGCAGGUAGGCCAAGAUAUCUAUCUGAUAGUGCUUCAGUUACAAUAUGUAAAAUUUCACAAACUUCAGUUCUGGUUACCACAGGUGUAUUUGGGCUAAAGAAAAUACUUGAUUUUGAUAAGCUCACCAUCUGACCUGAACUUUGGCAAUAAGUGUCUAGUACAUGCUGUAAGGAAGUUGCAUUUAGGACAUCCGCUUCCAUGAGAAUUAGAGAAUCAUCAGCAAAUAAAAGGUGUGAGACUGAUGGUGCAUUUCUGCACACUCUAACCCCAUCAAGGCCACCAACUUCUUUUUCAAACUACAACAUACUAGAGAGACCUUCUGCACAAAUGAGGAAAAGAUAUGGGGAUAGGGGAUCCCCUUGUCUAAUGCCUCUAGAUGGAACAAACAUAUCUGUUUCUUGAGAGUUAAAACAAAUCUUAUAUCUCACAGAGCUUACACAUGCCAUAACCAUAUCAAUCCAUUGCUCAUGGAACCCAAGUUUUUCCAUCAUACUUCGAAGAAAAAUCCAUUCAACCCGAUCAUAAGCCUUAUGCAUAUCCAACUUCACAGCACAUAACCCAGUUUGUCCAGCUCUCUUAUUCUUAAUCUUAUGCACACAUUCGUAAGCGAUAAGAACAUUAUCAGUAAUAAGCCUGCCAGGCACAAAUGCACUUUGUGUAGGAGAAAUGAUUUCUGGCAAAAUACUCUUUAACCUCCCUGCAAGCAUCUUAGAUAUGAUUUUAUAUAAUACAUUGCAUAAGCUAAUUGGUCUAUAUUAAGUUAUCAUCUCCGGAUUGUCAACCUUGGGUAUAAGAACGACUGAGGUGUCAUUCCAUUCAGCUGGGAUCUGUUUUGAGUUGAUGGCUAAUAAAACCUCUUGUGUAAUCUCAUCACCCAAAACAUGCCAGAACUUCUUAAAAAAUAUUGCAUGUAGACCAUCAGGCCUGGUGCCUUUAGGUCCCCUAUACUGAACACUGCCUUUUUCACAUCAUCUGCUGUGAAUGGAGCAAGUAACAUGUUAUUCAUUUGAACUGAAACUUUAGUUUGCACCUUAUCAAUGAUCUCAUGAUUAACCUGCUGCACCUCAUUGGUAAAUAGAUUAGCAAAAUAAUUCUGUAUGUGUGAGUUGAGAUCAGCCAUACCUUCCACUAAAUCACCAUUUCCAUCUUUAAGUUUUUUAAUCAUAUUUUUCUUUCUCCUCACCGAAGCAAAGGCCUGGAAAAACCUUGUGUUUCGGUCCCCAUUCUUCAACCAAGUAGCCCUUGAUCGCUGAAGAUGAUGGAUUUCUUCUAUUUCCAGUAGGUAUUCGACCAACUCGGCUAAUUCUUUCCUCUUGAUCUCUGUUUCAUCAUUUAUAGGGCCCAUCAUAAUUUUUUCCAACUCUCUCUGCACCUUCUUUAACCUUUUCUUGGGUUUCUUAAGUACUCGUUGGUCCCAGUCAUGAAACAGGCUAUGCAUCUGACUUAACUUGCUAUGGAUAUUCUGUGCAUUAGGGUCAGCGCCCACUUUGUUCCAAGCUUCCAGUACCGUAUCACUGAAUUCUUUUUCAUGCAGCCAUCUUGCUUCGAAUCUUUUCACCCCCGCUGCUACGUUUAUGUUCUGCACAUAAAACUCUGUAUCCACUAGAAGAGGCCGAUGAUCAGAGUGAUUAUAGUAUUUAUUCUCGAGUGCUACAUGGGGGUAUAACUGUGACCAUGACUCAUUAAUGAGCCCUCUAUCCAGUCUUUCUCUAAUUCUGCCCCUCUGCCAUGUGUAACCAUCACCUACAUAUCCCAUGUCUCUGAGAUCACAGUCAUCUAUAGCCUGCUGAAAUGCUUGCAUAUAUUGUGGAGGUCGUGGGUUCCCUCCUUCCUUUUCACUUAGAUUUUGUAUUUCAUUCAGGUCUCCAAUCAACAACCAGGGGAGAUUCUGACUCUGAUGUAAUGAUCUCAUAUGGUCCCAAGUUUUAUAUUUGUUCUCCCAACGAAAUUCGCCAUACAUACCAGUCAAUCUCCAAAUACUGUUAUUACUUUCCUCUAUUGUCACAUCAAUGAACAUUGGGUCUAAGUCCAGUCUAUUUACUUUAACCUCUUUCUUCCAAAGCAAUAGCAAGCCACCUUUCCUACCGUCACUUGGACAUACAAACUUUUGAUCCAUUUUUAAUUUUCUCCUUAAACACUCUGCCGGAUAGCUGUCAAGGUGUGUCUCCGACAAAAACAUCACAUCGGGAUUGUAACUUCGCUGGACCUCCAGCAAAGCACGAACUGCCGGGGCAUUCCCGAGCCCCCGACAGUUCCACGCUAGUAGUUUCAUUGAUCCCGGCGAUCACCCUCGAGGGGCGUCGCCGAUCCUGAAUUAACUGUACUAUUUGGGUUAGUGUCCACAGCCUGACCAUCUAUUCCCCUAAGCUUCUUUCUGCUCGCGUUCUUUUGGGGUGUACCUGAUACUGAUAGUGAGAGACUUUUUUCCUCCCCAUCUAUUUCUCCUUCAAAAAGAUUUACUUUUUCCGCUACUGUUACUGAUUCUGGCUCCUUGGCAGCCUUGGUAGCUACAAACGGGAUAAGAGUUGUUUGAUCAGUUUCAGUGUUACCAGUCACGACCAGGGGAGCCCUUGAGUUACUGUCAACCGCAAUCCUUUUCCCUAAGAUGUUAUCUGAUGUUGUGGUCAUUCGCAAGUCCCGAUCUUCAGGAUCUGUGAUGGUAUCCCCUUCAUUUGAUCCUCCGGGGACUACAUCUGUAGCAUGGACAUAAUUGUGUCGCCAAAUUACAGGGCCAGACCCUUCAUUGUUCGGUUCAGUAGGGUGAUAAUAAGAAUUGUUUCCACUUCCUCGACCAUUACCACGGCCAAAACCUCGCCCGCGGGUAGUAUAAUCAUCCCCGCUUCCCUGUCGAUCACCUGUCCCACGCCCUCCACGACCGCCUCCUCUGCCUCUCCAGGGAGCUAGCAGGAAAUUUCCCCAUUCAAACUUUGAUUUAUCGUGUUCUCCCGUCCCGCAUUCUUCAUGCCAAUGUCCCAUCAAACCACAAGCAUGACAGAAGGUCGGCAGUUUCUCAAAUUUCACAAGAUACUUUUCUGUUUCUCCUCCCUUUGUAAUACCAACAGCUCUAGUCAGUUUUUUGUUUACAUCAAGUUUCACUCUAACCCUUAUAAACUCCCCGAUGAAACCAUUUGGUAGUGUUACCUGUACCUCUGUAACGCCCCGAGACUGAUGUGCCAGGUGUCCUCCAGUUAUUCGCAGUCUUUGCCAUGUCAUUUGCUUGCGUGUCGCAUCUUGUCAUGUCAUCAUGUGCAUUGCAUCAUCAUGUUUUCAAAACUUGCAUCCGUCCCGGCCUCCUCGUUCUCUCCGUUGUCCGUUCUGAGCCCAGACACACUUGCACGCGCCCGCGACAUGUCCGAAAUAGUAUUUUAUAAGUGGCUGGAAAAUGUUCUCGGUAUGGGAUGAGAGUUGACGUGUGGUCUUAUUAUGGUGUAGAUAGACCGCCUGUCAAGUUUCAUCACAUUCGAAGAUUGUUUGAUGCCCCAACGGAUAACUAUAGCGGCAGUAUAGCCGGUCUAACGUCGGACAUUUUCGGUCUCCGGAAACAGUUGCCGGGCUGCACUCCUUCCCUUUCAUCUCAGCCCAACCUCCUCUUCACAGCCCACCAAACCCCACUCCGACCGGAGCCAUCGGAUCGCGAUCGGAGGGUCCGAAAACCCCCCUAAAUCCCCUAACCCUAGCUCUUUUGCUAUAUAUGGAUACCUCCUUGUCCAUUUCAGGCAACCUAGCCUCCCCCUACCCUCAGCCGCCACCUCCCACCUCGUUUUCAGCACCGGCCGCCCCUUCUCCGCCACUUUGGCACCGUCCCUGAGGGUAGAAGCCGCCAGCGCCACCGCUCCUGGCCAUCCAUGAUGCGCCACGUCACCCCUCCAGCGCCCCCAUCCACCGCGGCCCGCUCAGGCCCGUGCGGGGCCCGCCCGAGCCCAUCCAGGGCCUGAGCGCCUCCCGCUUCCUCGCUCCCGAUCUGGUUCGAGGGGAGGAGCCCCGUGAUCCAGAACCCCGCCGCCGUCUCGAUUUGCCUCGCUUUGCCGGCCACCUGAGACGCCGCCGACGAGCACCAGCAGGCCGUUCCCGCCGCCCUGCUCCUUCCCCAUCUCCUUUCUCCCUUGCUCUUCCUCUACUCUAAGCCAUGCACUGCCGCCAUUUUUGCAGGAUCCACCGCCGAGCUCGUCGCCGGCCUCCUCAGCCUCGCCCGUCACCGUUGACCGCGUCCGGUGCCGGAUCCGAGCUCCCCACGUGCCGAUUUGCUCGUUCCCGGCCUUCCCCGCCUUGUCCCGUCGACGUCCUCGCCAGACCACCGCCGCCGCCACGCCUGUUCCCGCCUCUGCUUCGAGUAGGAGGAGCUCGCCCGUCACCGUUGACCGCGUCCGCAUGGGCUGCGUCUCCGCGGCCCAGAUCCGCCGACCCACCACCCUGCUCCCCCUUCAGCCUGUUGGCCCGAUGUGAGCAGCCCCUCCAGCGCCUCCCCUAUGCACUUCUGGGCCUGCUAGUUUCGGCCCAUGGCAUGUUUUUUUCCGUUCUACGAUUUGUCCAUUUAUCCAGAGAUAACCAGUUUUACAGGAAGCCCCCUAGACUUCAUGCAUUUAAUAACUCCACAACCAUGCAUCGGAUCUAAAUAAAUUAUAUAUGAAACUUGCUUAGAAUUUCAUCUAGUUUCAUAAUAUGCAACUUUCAUCCAUGUUUAACAUGUUUAAAAUGCUGUUUGUUUAAUUUUGCUUAAAUGACUUGCUAAAAUGCUUUAAUUCGUAACUAAAUAACCGUAACUCGGAAUCUAACAAACUUUAUAUGCAAAUGGGGUGGAAUUUUGCCUAGUUUAACAUGGUGUACUUGUUUUGCAUGUUUAAUAACUCUAAAAUUGUGUUUAGGGCAGAACAGUACCAAACCUAAUAUAAGCACAUGAGGAUUUAUCGGAAUUGUUGUUCGUUGCUUCCGGCCUCUUUUAAACUUGACUAGAUAGGUAGUUUUGUUAUGCUUCACCUCUUGCCAUGUUAACCAACAUUUAAUAUUGUUGUGUACUUAAACGGGAGAGAACUAAAUAAUUGAUGUGGUGUUUUGUCAAUAUGCAUCCCGAUGCAUAUUGAGCUCCACCUAAUUUGUAGGAUUGCUUGUGCACUUUGCCAUGCCAUGCCUCUUUAAACCGGACAUGCAUCAUACUUGUUUGCGCAUCGUGCCAUGAUUAUGUGGUGGUUGUUUACUAUGUUGUUUGCUUCUUUCCGGUGUACUUCUUCUUGGUAAUCCGGUAACGUCGCGUUUGUGAGGACCCGUUCGACUACGUCCGUUUGUCUUCUUCAUGGACUCGUUCUUCUUCCUUGCGGGAUUUCAGGCAAGAUGAUCAUACCCUCGAAAUCACUUCUAUCUUUGCUUUGCUAAAUGCUCGCUCUUUUGCUAUGCCAUGCUACGAUGCCUACCACUUGCUUUCAAGCCUCCCAAAUUGCCAUGUCAAACCUCUAACCCACCAUGUCCUAGCAAACCGUUGAUUGGCUAUGUUACCGCUUUGCUCAGCCCCUCUUAUAGCGUUGUUAGUUGCAGGUGAAGAUUGAAGUUUGUACCUUGUUGGAACAUGGAGAUGUUGUUCCUUGUUGGAACAUGUUUACUUGUUGGGAUAUCACAUUAUAUCUUAUUUAAUUAAUGUAUCUAUAUACUGGGUAAAGGGUGGAAGGCUCGGCCUUAUGCCUAGUGUUUUAUUCCACUCUUGCCGCCCUAGUUUCCGUCAUAUCGGUGUUAUGUUCCUGGAUUUUGCGUUCCUUACGCGGUUGGGUAAUAAUGGGAACCCCUUGACAGUUUGCCUUGAGUAAAGCUCUUCCAGCAAUGCCCAACAUUGGUUUUACCAUUCGCCACCUAGCCUUUUCUUUUCCCUUGGGGGUCACGCGCCCAAGGGUCAUCAUUAUUUUACCCCCCCCCCGGGCCAAUGCUCCUCUGAGUGUUGGUCCAACUGAGCGAUGUCCGGGGCUAUCAGGGGCAACUCUGGGCUGGCCUACCCGACGUCUGGCUCAUCUGAGUGUGCCCUGAGAAAGAGAUAUGUGCAGCUCCUAUCGGGUUUUGUCGGCACAUUCGGGCGGUGUUGCUGGUUUAGUUUUACCCCGUCGAAAUGUCUUAUUGUACCGGGAUACCGAGUCUGAUCGGAAUGUCUCGGGAGGAGGUAUAUUCCUUCGUUGACCGUGAGAGCUUGUGAUGGGCUAAGUUGGGACUCCCCUGCAGGGAUUUGAACUUUCGAAAGCCGUGCCCGCGGUUAUGGGCAAAUGGGAAUUUGUUAAUGUCCGGUUGUAGAUAACUUGAACCUUAACUUAAUUAAAAUGAAUCAACUGCGUGUAACCGUGAUGGUCUCUUCUCGGUGGAGUCCGGGAAGUGAACACGGUGUUGGAGUUAUGCUUGACGUAGGUUGUUCUAGGAUCACUUCUUGAUCAUACUUUUAUCGACCGUGCUUUGCCUUCUCUUCUCGCUCUCAUUUGCGUAUGUUAGCCACCAUAUAUGCUAGUCGCUUGCUGCAGCUCCACCUCAUACCUUUACCUUACCCAUAAGCUUAAAUAGUCUUGAUCGCUAGGGUGCGAGAUUGCUGAGUCCCCGUGGCUCACAGAUACUUCCAAACCAGCUUGCAGGUGCCGAUGAGACCAUGCAGAUGACGCAACCAAGCUCAGGAGGAGCUCGAUGAAGAUCUUGUCCUUUGUGUUGUUUCGUUCUAGUUGAUCAGUAGUGGAGCCCAGUUGGGGUCGAUCGGGGACCUUGUCGCAUUUGGGGUCCUUCUUUUAUUUUGGUUCCGUAGUCGGACCUUGAUUGUAUUUGGGAUGAUGUAAUGCUUUAUUCAUGUAUUGUGUGAGGUGGCGAUUGUAAGCCAACUAUGUAUCUUUUUCCUUAUGUAUUACAUGGGUUGUGUGAAGAUUACCUCAUUUGCGACAUUGCUUUCAAUGCGGUUUUGCCUUUAAGUCGUGCUUCGACACGUGGGAGAUAUAGCCGCAUCGAGGGCGUUACAAGUUGGUAUCAGAGCCUUCCCCGACCUUAGGAGCCCCAUUGCUUGAUCGUUUUUAGCAGCCGAGUUGUGUCUUGAAAAAAAUGUUUUGAGUCAUUUAGGAAUUAUAUAUCGGAGAGUUUAGGAAUUCUUUUUACUUCCCAGUCUCCUCAUCGCUCUGGUAAGGCAUCCUGACGUAGAGUUUUGACUCUUCUCUUCUCAAAUUUCACUAAAAAAUCUUUUAGGAUCACGCGGGUAUCUUGGAAUCGUUCCGAUGGUUUUGUGACGAGAACAUUGUCUUGGUGCCUCCUGUCAGGGGUUUUGUGGAAGUGUCCCGGGGAGUUGAGCUCUGAGGUGUUGUCGUCAUAAUUUUAUCGUUGCAGUUCUGGAAUACCUGAGUUUAGUACGUCGACAUCAAAAAUCUCUUUUAUGCAGUUCGUUGGUGAGAUAACCUCGACGCCACCCAGUACUGGGGCGGGAGUUCGGGAGUAUCCCAUAACUUGUAUAACGGAUGCUUUUCGAAGGUUGAGGUAGAUGAUUUCCGAAGGUUUCUUGGUUAUGUGUUGAAGGAUGGAUACAGCUGGAUGUAGGAUUUGCUAGUUUUGGGUGAGAUAUUAUGCUUCCCCUGUAUCCCCAACACCUGAUUGCAUAACCGGAAAAAUUUCGGGAGUUCAUAGGUGGGAAUUCAAGUAGCUCUUAGGAUAUCUUCCGACAGAUGUAUGAUAUGAAAUUGGGGUUCAACGUCUAGUGGUCCGCCUAUUCACGGUCGGUUUUACAGUGGUCUCGUUGUGUCUUAAAGAGUCCUUGGCUAUGCCGACUCGGGGACGCUUCGUAUGUCAUGUGCACUACCUUGUACAUGAUGGUGCUGUACGAUCGAGCCCGUGUAGGCCCCACCACAAAAACUUCGGACGAAAUCUCUAUCAUAUGUUUGUUCCGGCUUAUUCUGCAAGCCAAUCCAUUGUUUUAUUUUGAGUUGUGGUAUUCGAGUUGCUUCAAUGUCAAGUGUUGAUUCCAUACCUUUCCUAAGCGGUGUUCUCAUAUUCCUAUGGGAAUACUAAUCCUCCUUGAUGAUCGAGUGUGUCAUCUUAAUUUCUUUUCAACCGGUGUGUUUCUCUUCUAGUGGAUCCGAUCACUUCAACAUUCGCAAGAUCAAUUAUCAGUUCUUAUCAACGGUGUUUGCUUCAUCCGUUCCAAGUUGUCUUUGUUUUCCCACCCUCCCACCCUUUUUAUUCAAGGACUCAGAUUUCUUAAUCGAGUAUCCAUCUUAUUGAUGUGAAGCCUCUCUAUUCUUUUCCUUCAAUGUUCUUAUCCGGUGAUUCUCAUGAAGAUACUAACGGAACUUCUAGUUUAUCAUUCCUUGUUCUUUUAUCUUCUCCGGUGGAUUCAAUUCAAGCUUUCGAUGUUUGAUCAUAUUCUUUUCUGUAUUUCAAUGCUUUCUCAUGCCGGUGCAAUUCUUAAUCGUUCAUCUCUCGCUAUUCUAUUGUCCCGGAGUGCUCAAGAUAUCUCAAAAGGCUCGUCUUGUCUUUCAAGAUCAGUUCAACCUAUUUCGAGGUUGUUAUCUCAUUCAAGCCAUUUAAUUCAACCGGCGCAAUCUAUCUUUUAAAUCAUUCAACAGUGUUUUCUUUUGAGUGGGCCCUAACCCACAGGUCUUUUCCCAAGAUCUUACCUGAGUCUUCUAAUUUUUUCCCGGAGUUACUCACAAAUUCUUUUCGAAGUUUGAUGUAAGAAUGAUUCAUCAUCAGUCAUAUGUAUUUCGCCAAGUUCUUUCAAAUUCUUUUCAUCAUUGGCUCGACCUUUUCCAAUUUUAAUUCCGGAGUGUCUCAAUAAUUCAUGGUGGUGUCUCUCAUCGUCAUUCUCUGUAUUUGAAGACCGAAGAAGAUUUUCCUCUCAAUCUUGCUCCAUUCUCUUCAUGAUUCGUGAUUCUAGCUUGUUGCCUUUCUCUCAUAAUUGUUCAAUUGUGAGAAUUCUUUUUAUCCAUCCGAAGCAAUUCAGGAGCCUUUUCAGUUUGUUUCUCUGGAGCCCAUCAUCUCAAAUUAUUCAUGUCAGCUUUCAACUAGCAUUCACCAAAUCUCACCGGUGCAUCAUUCAAUAUUCUUUAAUCAGCGCGUGAUCUCUUCAGUUGUAUCUAAAUUCUCUUAAGCAUCUUCAUUCAUUUGCUAAUUCUUCCCGGUGUUUUCUUUAUCUUCUCGUCGUUCAUUUUUAAUUCUUACGGUGGGUCGUUCAAGAUUCUCUUCUUUCGUUUAUCAUAUCAAUUUAUUUGUUAUUUCUAUCCUACCGGUGGUUCGUCUAAUAUUUUCUCAAGUUUGCGCUAUAUCUAUCUUAAUCCUUUCUACAGAAUAAGUAGUAUGCCAAAUCCGUGGCUUAUCAUCAAUUAAAUUGGCGAAGGUUAUGCAUAAUGUAAUUCUUAUUCUUGUUUCAUCCAUAUGUUAAUCUUUUCUUCCGGAGUUUGUUCACGAUGAUUAAAUUCUUGGUUUCAAGUGCUCAUCUUUCUUUUCCUGGAGUUCCAAGCUCUCUCAAUUAUCUCGUCGCGUAGCUCCAUCUAAAUCAUUGCAAGGAUUUCACCUUGUGUUUUCGACCUCUCUUUCCUUCCGUUUGAUCAUUUCUUUUAUUACCGGAGUUCUUCAUGAAGGUUCUUUCAUGAUGGUUCAUCAAGGAUUUAUUUUCCUUUUCGAAGUGUUCAUCUACAUUCUUUUCUAAGGAGCUUAAGUUUCUUCAUCUUGCAAUCCGGAGUGCAAUUCUUUUCUUCUGUAUCAUUUGAGGUGGUAUUAUGUCAUUCUUGAUAAUUUGAGUUCAUGUUUUCUUGAUUCACAUGUUGUCAAGAAUGAGAUAUUUUAAAUCCAUCAAUCUCGUCAUUGGAGUUAUCUUGGGUUAUAUUUCACCUAAAAACUUUCCCUAAGGAUUGUUGUUAAUUAUGGUGCUUAUAAUUGACCCAAGUUCUUCUUUUAUCCUCCCGGUGAAUUAAGUUUCUCAUCUCCUUGUUUGAUAUCAAUCCAAUCUAUCGGUUCCGUUAGUGGCAGAAUUUCACCUCAUAGUUUUGAGAUGUUUUCCAUAAGCCCACUACUACCUUGCUCUUUUCGUUAUUGGUUUUUCCAACAACUCCGUUCGACCCUUCGCCUAAAGAUGUCUUUUCAAGCUCUUUUGGGGCAGAAGUUGGCAUUUUCUUCUCCAUUCUUGUAUUUCAACCUUCUAUUCUUUUUGUUCCGGAGGCAUUGUGUGUUGCUCCUUCCGUUCCAUCACCUCAUUUUGACAAGAUCAUAUUCUUUUCAUACCCACCCAUUUAACCGGAGUGUUGUGCCAUUUUGCUCAAGUUCUUUUCGCCUUAUCAAGCCUUUCAUCUCUGUUCAACCGGAGUGCUGUCUGAGAUCUUUCUUACCCCUUGUUACAUUCAUUCAAUAGUUCCGGAGGCAGUGUGUCGUGAUUUCAUCAAGCAUCUUCUCACCUUACCAAGUUCUUAUUCAAUUCCUUUUCUUUUCAAUCGGAGUGCUGCCCGAAUUUGUUCUUCCUUGUUCCUUUUCCUAACAGAGUGCUUUCAACUUCGUUCAUUCUCGUUGAUUCUUUCUUUCAAUUGUUCAACCUCUCAAGGUUCUUUGGUUUCACUCAUUGGUCAAAGAAGCAACUUAGUUUUACCUCUUCUCGUUCUAUUCUGUUGUUCCUCCAGUGCCAUUCUAGAUCUCGGGACGAGAUCCUCUCGUAGUGGUGGAGUGUUGUAACGCCCCGAGACUGAUGUGCCAGGUGUCUUCCAGUUAUUCGCAGUCGUUGACAUGUCAUUUGCUUGCGUGUCGCAUCUUGUCAUGUCAUCAUGUGCAUUGCAUCAUCAUGUUUUCAAAACUUGCAUCCGUCCCGGCCUCCUCGUUCUCUCCGUUGUCCGUUCUGAGCCCAGACACACUUGCACACGCCCGCGGCAUGUCCGAAAUAGUAUUUUAUAAGUGGCCGGAAAAUGUUCUCGGUAUGGGAUGAGAGUUGACGUGUGGUCUUAUUAUGGUGUAGAUAGACCGCCUGUCAAGUUUCAUCGCAUUCGGAGAUCGUUUGAUGCCCCAACGGAUAACUAUAGCGACAGUAUAGCCGGUCUAACGUCGGACAUUUUCGGUCUCCGGAAACAGUUGCCGGGAUGCACUUCUUCCCUCUCAUCUCAGCCCAACCUCCUCUUCACAGCCCACCAAACCCCACUCCGACCGGAGCCAUCGGAUCGCGAUCGGAGGGUCCGAAAACCCCCCUAAAUCCCCUAACCCUAGCUCUUUUGCUAUAUAUGGAUACCCCCUUGUCCAUUUCAGGCAACGUAGCCUCCCCCUACCCUCAGCCGCCACCUCCCACCUCGUUUUCAGCACCGGCCGCCCCUUCUCCGCCACUUGGCGCCGUCCCUGAGGGUAGAAGACGCCAGCGCCGCCGCUCCUGGCCAUCCAUGAUGCGCCACAUCACCCCUCCAGCGCCCCCAUCCACCGCGGCCCGCUCAGGCCCGUGCAGGGCCUGAGCGCCUCCCGCUUCCUCGCUCCCGAUCUGGUUCGAGGGGAGGAGCCCCUCGAUCCAGAACCCCGCCGUUGUCUCGAUUUGCCUCGCUUCGCCGGCCACCUGAGAUGCUGUCGACGAGCACCAGCAGGCCGUUCCCGCUGCCCUGCUCCUUCCCCAUCUCCUUUCUCCCUUGCUCUUCCUCUACUCUAAGCCAUGCGCUGCCGCCAUUUUUGCAGGAGCCACCGCCGAGCUUGUCGCCGGCCUCCUCGGCCUCGCCCGUCACCGUUGACCGCGUCCGGUGCCGGAUCCGAGCUCCCCACGCGCCGAUCUGCUCGUUCCCGGCCUUCCCCACCUUGCCCCAUCGACGUCCUCGCCAGACCACCGCCGCCGCCACGCCUGUUCCCGCCUCUGCUUCGAGUAGGAGGAGCUCGCCCGUCACCGUUGACCGCGUCCGCAUGGGCUGCGUCUCCGCGGCCCAGAUCCGCCGGCCCACCACCCUGCUCCCCCUUCGGCAUGUUGGCCCGAUGUGAGCAACCCCUCCAGCGCCUCCCCUAUGCACUUCUAGGCCUGCUAGUUUCGGCCCAUGGCAUGUUUUUUUUUUCGUUCUAAGAUUUGUCCAUUUAUCCAGAGAUAACCAGUUUUACAGGAAGCCCCCUAGACUUCAUGCAUUUAAUAACUCCACAACCAUGCAUCGGAUCUAAAUAAAUUAUAUAUGAAACUUGCUUAGAAUUUCAUCUAGUUUCAUAAUAUGCAACUUUCAUCCAUGUUUAACAUGUUUAAAAUGCUGUUUGUUUAAUUUUGCUUAAAUGACUUGCUAAAAUGCUUUAAUUCGUAACUAAAUAACCGUAACUCGGAAUCUAACAAACUUUAUAUGCAAAUGGGGUGGAAUUUUGCCUACUUUAACAUGGUGUACUUGUUUUGCAUGUUUAAUAACUCUAAAAUUGUGUUUAGGGUAGAACAGUACCAAACCUAAUAUAUGCACAUGAGGAUUUACCGGAAUUGUUGUUCGUUGCUUCCGGCCUCUUUUAAACUUGACUAGAUAGGUAGUUUUGUUAUGCUUCACCUCUUGCCAUGUUAACCAACAUUUAAUAUUGUUGUGUACUUAAACGGGAGAGAACUAAAUAAUUGAUGUGGUGUUUUGUCAAUAUGCAUCCUGAUGCAUAUUGAGCUCCACUUAAUUUGUAGGAUUGCUUGUGCACUUUGCCAUGCCAUGCCUCUUUAAACCAGACAUGCAUCAUACUUGUUUGCGCAUCGUGCCAUGAUUAUGUGGUGGUUGUUUACUAUGUUGUUUGCUUCUUUCCGGUGUACUUCUUCUCGGUAAUCCGGUAACGUCGCGUUUGUGAGGACCCGUUCGACUACGUCCGUUUGUCUUCUUCAUGGACUCAUUCUUCUUCCUUACGGGAUUUCAGGCAAGAUGAUCAUACCCUCGAAAUCACUUCUAUCUUUGCUUUGCUAGAUGCUCGCUCUUUUGCUAUGCCAUGCUACGAUGCCUACCACUUGCUUUCAAGCCUCCCAAAUUGCCAUGUCAAACUUCUAACCCACCAUGUCCUAGCAAACCGUUGAUUGGCUAUGUUACCGCUUUGCUCAACCCCUCUUAUAGCAUUGUUAGUUGCAGGUGAAGAUUGAAGUUUGUACCUUGUUGGAACAUGGAGAUGUUGUUCCUUGUUGGAACAUGUUUACUUGUUGGGAUAUCACAUUAUAUCUUAUUUAAUUAAUGCAUCUAUAUACUGGGUAAAGGGUGGAAGGCUCGGCCUUAUGCCUGGUGUUUUGUUCCACUCUUGCCGCCCUAGUUUCCGUCAUAUCGGUGUUAUGUUCCCGGAUUUUGCGUUCCUUACGCGGUUGGGUAAUAAUGGAAACCCCUUGACAGUUCGCCUUGAGUGAAGCUCUUCCAGCAAUGCCCAACAUUGGUUUUACCAUUCGCCACCUAGCCUUUUCUUUUCCCUUGGGGGUCGCGCGCCCAAGGGUCAUCAUUAUUUUACCCCCCCUCCCCGGGCCAGCGCUCCUCUGAGUGUUGGUGCAACUAAGCGAUGUCCGGGCUACCAGGGGCAACUCUGGGCUGGCCUACCCGACGUUUGGCUCAUCUGAGUGUGCCCUGAGAAAGAGAUAUGCGCAGCUCCUAUCGGGAUUUGUCGGCACAUUCGGGCGGUGUUGCUGGUUUAGUUUUACCCUGUCGAAAUGUCUUGUUGUACCGGGAUACCGAGUCUGAUCGGAAUGUCUCGGGAGGAGGUCUAUUCCUUCGUUGACCGUGAGAGCUUGUGAUGGGCUAAGUUGGGACUCCCCUGCAGGGAUUUGAAGUUUCGAAAGCCGUGCCCGCGGUUAUGGGCAGAUGGGAAUUUGUUAAUGUCCGGUUGUAGAUAACUUGAACCUUAACUUAAUUAAAAUGAAUCAACUGCGUGUGUAACCGUGAUGGUCUCUUCUCGGCGGAGUCCGGGAAGUGAACACGGUGUUGGAGUUAUGCUUGACGUAGGUUGUUCUAGGAUCACUUCUUGAUCAUGCUUUUAUCGACCGUGCUUUGCCUUCUCUUAUCGCUCUCAUUUGCGUAUGUUAGCCACCAUAUAUGCUAGUCGCUUGCUGCAGCUCCACCUCAUACCUUUACCUUACCCAUAAGCUUAAAUAGUCUUGAUCGCGAGGGUGCGAGAUUGCUGAGUCCCCGUGGCUCACAGAUACUUCCAAACCAGCUUGCAGGUGCCGAUGAGACCAUGCAGAUGACGCAACCAAGCUCAGGAGGAGCUCGAUGAAGAUCUUGUCCUUUGUGUUGUUUCGUUCUAGUUGAUCAGUAGUGGAGCCCAGUUGGGGUCGAUCGGGGACCUUGUCGCAUUUGGGGUCCUUCUUUUAUUUUGGUUUCGUAGUCGGACCUUGAUUGUAUUUGGGAUGAUGUAAUUCUUUAUUCAUGUAUUGUGUGAAGUGGCGAUUGUAAGCCAACUAUGUAUCUUUUUCCUUAUGCAUUACAUGGGUUGUGUGAAGAUUACCUCACUUGCGACAUUGCUUUUAAUGCGGUUAUGCCUCUAAGUCGUGCUUCGACACGUGGGAGAUAUAGCCGCAUCGAGGGCGUUACAACCUCCUCCACCAUACCAAUACGGCUUGCAAGGUUCUGUAAAGCACUCUUGCUUUUGAGCACUCCAUCCGGCAACUUAUGAAUUUGACACCAUAUCUUCAAUCUGUCCAGCUUGAUUUUUUCAGGGUUUGAAAACCCAUCAUACUCCGCCAUGAUUAGAGCAAAUCCAUGGAAGUCCCAGGGCCCUUGGUGCAUGGCCUUGUUCCAAUCGCCAAGACAAUUGAAUUGAAUCGAGAACAGGUUCGCAUUGAUUCUUCUCCAUACAACGGCCUGGGCAGGGUUCCACGCCGCUUUCAUAUCCCCUAUCAAUGCACUCUGACUGAAACUCUUCCCUGUCAAGAGCCGGCCAAGUGCCAACCACUUCGGUUUAAUCUCAUCAAUAUCGAUCUCAUCUUCCCAAACUAGGUCAUCCGCCUCAUCAUCCUCUAGAUUCAACCUCUCCAAGAUUUUGCUGGUAUCCUCCAUCUGCUGACUACCUGAUCCGCUGCUAUUUCCAUCAGUCGCCAUGCCGAUUCCUCCAAACCUUAGAUCACAGGCGAUUGCUUCACCAGCCACUGCCGCAUGCACAACAAGAGGUAGGGGAAGGUCGCGUGUGGGGGAUUUGUCGGGGAAACAAUGGUAACUCACGGCGGCUACGCCGUAGCCGUCGGAGGACUGGAGAACCCUAGGGACGAAACCUAGGGGGAAAAAACUUCCUAAUGGGGACUGAACAUGUCUUGUCCCAUACACUGUUCACAUCUUGAUUUGUCUUUUUUGUUUCUUGAUGUGUACUUUGAAUUUGGAUCUGAAAUAUUUAUUAAAAAACUACACUGUUCACAUUUACAAAAAAAAUGAUUUUCUGUACCGUUUGAAAUUGAUUGUUCUUUUUUCAAAUUGGGGCCAUGGGAGCAUAUUAGUGAAAGACCUUGACCAUUAAUUGAUUAACAAAAUAUGAUGUACAUGCAUAUAAUUUAGAUCACUAUUUUAGUGACCAAAUCCCUCUCAUAUUUCUUUACAGAGGGAAUACAUCAUAGAAGCUUCUCUUGAAUGGUGAAUCCAAUAACUUUUUUUCCGAACAUGUAACUAACGUCUUCGGCUCGCUUCAGUGUUUGUAGUCGUCGAUAGGUGGUCUACGGAUCUGGAUGUAAUUUUUAUUAUUUCGAGUGUUCAUUGUACUACCAUGAUUGAAGAUGAGUAGAUUGAAAGUUUUUUCCGCAGAAAAAAACUAAUAUUUUGUUGAUCAAAUUACGGAUGAGAAUCCGGAGUAGCUCGUGCUGCUUAGAGAUUUCUUCUAUAAAUAUAUGCUUUCAAGGGCUAGUCCCCUUGUUUUUUCUGAUUGAAAUACAUGCGAGACUUGUAAAUCUGAACCGACCGGAGGGAGUAUGGGAGUAUACAUGUCGUCUAUUUCCAACUCAAUAAAAAAACAUGCUGGCUAUUUAUUUAUUUUGGAAAAUUUCUAAUCUAUUUAUCGUACAAUGAAUACUAAAAAAAUUACAUUCAGAUCCAUAGACCACAUAGUGACGACUACAAGCACUGAGGCGAGUCGAAGGCGCGCCGCCCUCAUCGCUCCUCCAUCGUCGGAGUCGGGCCCAACUUGUUGUAGUAGACAGUCAGAAAGUCGUCGUGCUAAGCCCUGUAGGACCAACGCACCAGAAUAGCAACCGCCGCAGAUGAAAAAUACCGUAGAUCAGAAGGAUCCAACACGAAGACACACAAACGUAGACGAACAACGACAAGAUCCGAGCAAAUCCACCAAUGAUAGAUCCACCGGAGACACACCUUCACACGCCCACCAACGGUGCUAGACGCAUCGCCGGAACGAAGGCUAAACGGGAAGACCUUUAUUCCAUCUUCAAGAAGCCGCCGCCGUCUUGUCUUUCUGAGCAGGACACAAACCCUAACAAAACUAGAAGAAAUCACUAAAAACGAAGCCCUCCUAAUGACCCUUGCCGAGAUCCACCGUGCCCCAUGAUCCUAGGGCCACCGGAGAGGAGGCGGAUUGCAGCAGCACCGGCAGGAGGCAGGAAGCCAGAAACCCUAGCUUUUUUGUGGAGGAGGUGGCGGCUAGAGAUCUAAGCGGAAGUGCACCUGUUGCCUCUGUUUCUUGAUCCUGCACUAACAUGCCGGCUAUUUACCACAUUCCCUGUUAAUAGUCAAUUUAAACUAAGUGGCUACGUCAGCCUGAGAUACAUACAUGCACAAAGCGUGAGCGUGUGUUCGGCAACAUACGCAGCAAACUUAGCAGGCUCAAAAAAUACAAACUGCUCGCCAAGGAGCAGGAAACCUUCUACAAAUUCAAGCCCUGUUUGGAUUAUCAUUUUACUUUGAAAUACCCCUGUAAAAAAUGCAUGCCUUGCCUCGUCAUUCUGUUUCCAGCUCAAAAUUACUCAGUGGCCGGUAUGAUACAGGCGUAAGUUAAACACCUCCGUUUGAUUACACCGUUGACCGUUCCCAAGCGCGCCCUCAGGCUCCACUUGGAACUGUUGUAAUUUUAUACAACUGCAUUUAGCUCACAGGUGUAUAACAGCAGCCACAACUGAUAUCCUAGGUGUGUACCAUAAAUCGGCUGAUUACGAGCCUAAACGAGGAUACAAGCGUAAACAUUACAGGCCUAAUACAAUGAACCAACCACCUCGGCGUUUUCUAACCAGCCAAUGUUUUAAGGAGGGAAAACGAUAUUCCAAGCGGGCUCUCCGUAGCAGCGGAAAACAAGCCACGCGACGGCCAGUCACUUGAACAAUUGUCAAAACGUCACCCUAGAUCCUGCGAUAUUCCCGUGAAGUCAAGGAGUUGCCGAUAAAAUCCUCAUGAGCGUCAAUGGAUGUUUCUUCCUUUUACGCAAUGAAACUUCUCAGCACCGCUUCAAUUUGC
rnacentral:lncRNA from 1 species